rnacentral:rRNA from 1 species
ACCGAACCGACUAAUGUUGAAAAAUUAGCGGAUGACUUGUGGCUGGGGGUGAAAGGCCAAUCAAACCGGGAGAUAGCUGGUUCUCCCCGAAAGCUAUUUAGGUAGCGCCUCGUGAAUUCAUCUCCGGGGGUAGAGCACUGUUUCGGCAAGGGGGUCAUCCCGACUUACCAACCCGAUGCAAACUGCGAAUACCGGAGAAUGUUAUCACGGGAGACACACGGCGGGUGCUAACGUCCGUCGUGAAGAGGGAAACAACCCAGACCGCCAGCUAAGGUCCCAAAGUCAUGGUUAAGUGGGAAACGAUGUGGGAAGGCCCAGACAGCCAGGAUGUUGGCUUAGAAGCAGCCAUCAUUUAAAGAAAGCGUAAUAGCUCACUGGUCGAGUCGGCCUGCGCGGAAGAUGUAACGGGGCUAAACCAUGCACCGAAGCUGCGGCAGCGACACUAUGUGUUGUUGGGUAGGGGAGCGUUCUGUAAGCCUGUGAAGGUGGCCUGUGAGGGUUGCUGGAGGUAUCAGAAGUGCGAAUGCUGACAUAAGUAACGAUAAAGCGGGUGAAAAGCCCGCUCGCCGGAAGACCAAGGGUUCCUGUCCAACGUUAAUCGGGGCAGGGUGAGUCGACCCCUAAGGCGAGGCCGAAAGGCGUAGUCGAUGGGAAACAGGUUAAUAUUCCUGUACUUGGUGUUACUGCGAAGGGGGGACGGAGAAGGCUAUGUUGGCCGGGCGACGGUUGUCCCGGUUUAAGCGUGUAGGCUGGUUUUCCAGGCAAAUCCGGAAAACCAAGGCUGAGGCGUGAUGAC